GCGGUCGUGGCGGAAUUGGCAGACGCGCUGGAUUCAGGUUCCAGUGGGCUAACCCCCCCCGUGGAGGUUCGAGUCCUCUCGACCGCACCA
rnacentral:tRNA from 1 species